UACGUAGGGUGCAAGCGUUGUCCGGAAUUAUUGGGCGUAAAGAGCUCGUAGGCGGUCUGUCGCGUCGAAUGUGAAAACCCGGGGCUCAACCCCGGGCCUGCAUUCGAUACGGGCAGACUAGAGUUCGGUAGGGGAGUCUGGAAUUCCUGGUGUAGCGGUGAAAUGCGUAGAGAUCGGAAGGAACGCCGGUGGCGAAAGCGGCGGACUGGGCACCUCCUGACGCUGAGGCGCGAAAGCCAGGGGAGCAAACGGG
rnacentral:rRNA from 1 species